UACGUAGGGUGCAAGCGUUAAUCGGAAUUACUGGGCGUAAAGCGUGCGCAGGCGGUUAUGUAAGACAGGUGUGAAAUCCCCAGGCUCAACCUGGGAACUGCGUCCGAUACUGGCAGGCUUGAAUCCGGGAGAGGGAUGCGGAAUUCCAGGUGUAGCGGUGAAAUGCGUAGAUAUCUGGAGGAACACCGGUGGCGAAGGCGGCAUCCUGGACCGGCAUUGACGCUGAGGCGCGAAAAGCCAGGGGGAGCAAACGGGG
rnacentral:rRNA from 1 species